rnacentral:lncRNA from 1 species
GAGAUCUGCGUCGCGCUGGGCACGCUGGCCACCCGGUCCGGAAUGAGUCGGGGCUCCGGGAGGUGCCCGUGGGCAGAGCGUUAGGGGCGCGGCCGUGCCGGACCCGCCCUGGGGACCCGCUGGAGCUGGAGGAGGAACUAACUAUGGCUUGGCAUCUUCUUCCGAGCAAGCGCAGCUCUCAGGCCGGGCCUGAGCCUGCAGCCUGUGUGCCCUCCAUCAUCAGGGCCCCCUCUCAGGACAGGCUACACCGAGGGUGGGACGGCGGACUUCCAGGGACACUUCCAAGUCGUGCCCAUGCAGAUACCUCAGUAUACACUGCCCACAGUUAAGAAACCACGACCUGAGACAUUGUUUUGAAGAGGUGAAAAUGCCUGCCCUCCUUCUGACAAAAGGAGGGGGUAGGAUGUGAAGGGAUUGAAAGUGGCGCCAUCUAGACCCAGGAAAAAGCUACGGGGUGGGCGGGGUAAGCGGGGGACUCUUGGUAAAUGUGGAUAAUUUUGAACUGGGACACCAUUUUGUUUCCUUCCUAGAGCAUUGUAUGAUGUGGCCUGAAGGCUCUGGAAAGUCACAGAUCACACCCAGCAGGAGGUUCUUCAUGUGUGCCAGCCCCUGGCUGGGCCUGGGCAGCCUUGCCCCCAUCCUCUGGCCCCAGCUCCUGCCACCCCACCUGCAGACAAGGCUGCCAAAGGCUAGGGACAGGGCUCCAAGCUAGAGGCCGGCUUUUUGGAGAUGUGGCUGUGGGAGGGGAAUCCCAGGAAGUUGCAUAGAGAGGGAGUUUUUGCCAGCCUGGGUCACUGAUGGCCAGUCCGGGUCACUGAUGUCUCCCCAGGGGCAAGGGGACAGUGCCUGGCUAAUUGUGGGUUUCAAAAUCUGUCUGUUGAGGGGAUGCAGAGGUCAUCAUUGGGGGGUGAAGCUGAUGGUCCACAGAAGCUCUGGGCACAGGUUGGACCUCUUUCCUGCACAAAGAACCCUCCAGGGUGCCCAGUGGUUCUGGCCAGCGCCGGAGCCAGUGACGGUUGGCUUGUUCUGGCCUUCCUCCCCUUCUCACACAUGCAUUCUCUUGCACACGUGUCACACACAUUCCUACACACUCACACAAAUUCUCACACAAAUUCCCAGAAUCAAUCUCCCACAUACACAUCCAAGUCACACACUCAUUCUUACAUGCGAUUCACAGAUUCACACGAUUCACAGAUGCAACAGACUCACAGGCAUUCACUCUUACAUAUGACACAGUUGCACACUUGCACACACACACACACACACACACGCACUGCAAUCCCCUUGCAUCUCCACAGUGUCGAAGGCUGGCUGAACACCAAGGUGGCUCUUGGUGGCAGGACUUCUCAUGGGAGGGAAAGUCACAUAGCUGGAAGGUUACUAGCUUAGGGACAUAAUUUCCUUAUUGACUAUAAUCUCCUUAUAGAAAUUCAACAACUAUAGCAGAAAAUGGAGAAUGAGGACAUUUUAUUUCUCAAAGUCAACAGUUCCUUUUCUCCUGCACCUUCGGAGCAGGCUCCUGCCUGAGGCUGCUGAGGUGCUCUGGGUUCUCGCUGUUUGUUUUCAGCAUCCAGGUUCAGGCUUUUCUCAGUGCAUUUUCCUCGGCUGCCCUUGGACUUGUGUUGUCCGGGGUGGUGGCCACUGGCCCCCAGUGGCUACUGAGCAGGGAGAGCAGGGCCCCUCUGUGGUGAGGCGUGCUGCUCAGUGUAAAACACACACGAGAUUUUCCAGAUGCAGUACUCAAAAGCAUGUGAAACUCCUCAGUCAUCACUUAAAAUAUUGAUCACAGGUUGAAAUGAUUAUAUUUUAGAUACCUUAGGUUAAGUAAAAUAUAUUAUUGAAAUUUCACCUUCUUUUUGCUUUCUAAAAAUGUAGCUCUUAGGAACUUUGCAAUUACCUACAUGGCUAUUUGUGUGUUAUCUUCCUGCUGGGCAGUGUGAGACCUUCUCACAGAUCCUUCAGAAAUGUCAAAGGAAAAGCAAAAAUGGUGGAGAAGGCUGAGCACGUGGCCUCGCGGGAGGCCGGCUCAGAGCUGUUCUGAAGUUGCUUUUGUAACACAAUCUAUUCUCAAAGCUCCUUUUCUUUCAAUGGGGCAGGUUGGGGGUGGGGGGGGGGGGGAUAUUACACCUUGUAUUUUACUUCUCGAUUCAUUUUCUUUCCAUUUUAACUUUAAUUCCGUCUAAUUACUGUAUUGUGAGCUCAGUCAGCAAUCUUGCAUGAACUCUGCAGUAACUUCUGAAGACUCUUGCUCCAAGUGUUUGAUAAUGAGGAGAUGUGCAGGACUAAGGCGACUGUGUGAUGUCUGCACAGUUCGAAAGCCCGCUUUCCUGUUACUUUCAAAUCUCGGGUCAGCAUUUUGGAACUUUUCUGCUUUAAUUUUUCCACACACACCUCUCACUGCGACCACCUACCAUCACCACAACCCAAAACAAAGCAAACAAACAGAAAGCUUGAACAAGAAUUUACAUCUGGGAAAACGCUUCUACUCAUCAAGAGUGGAAUUCCUUUUUAUUCCUAUAAUUGACUCACAGCUUCAAAAAUCUGUGAAGUCAUACUUUGGUCACGGAAGUUGCAAGAAACCAUAUUUGCAAACGUUUUAUUUUAAAGAAGGUAUUUAAAAAUAUUUCACAUAUUAGCCACAGAUUUCUAGAAGUGAAGUUAUAAAAAUUAGAAAUUAUAUUUUGCCUUUUGAUGAUAGCAAGUGAAAAGAGAUUGCUCCAAGCAUGUUUUCAAUAAAUUCAGUAUAACUGCAACACAAAAAUUCUGCAUGCAGGCUUCAUACACACACGUUAUAAUUUUAUGCAUUUAUCUUGAGAGUUGUAUAAUUAAUUUUAAAAAUGCAACAGAAAUGUGAAGUUAAGUCUACUUUGCCAAUAAUGGAAAUGUCUCAUAGAUAAUUUUGAAUACAAUUAAAAUUUUGUUUUUAUCAUAAAA